rnacentral:rRNA from 1 species
UUGACGGAGAGUUUGAUCCUGGCUCAGGACGAACGCUGGCGGCGUGCUUAAUACAUGCAAGUCGAACGCUCUCGACCUUCGGGUCAUAUGAGAGAGUGGCGAACGGGUGCGUAACACGUGAGAAACCUGCCCCAAAGACGGGAAUAGCCCGAGGAAACUCGGAUUAAUACUCGAUACCUUCACACAGCCGCAUGGUUGCGUGAAGAAAGUUCAGGCGCUUUGGGAGGGUCUCGCGGCCUAUCAGCUUGUUGGUGAGGUAAUGGCUCACCAAGGCAUCGACGGGUAGCUGGUCUGAGAGGACGAUCAGCCACACUGGGACUGAGACACGGCCCAGACUCCUACGGGAGGCAGCAGUAGG